AUUGAACGCUGGCGGCAUGCCUUACACAUGCAAGUCGAACGGUAACGGGCCUUCGGGUGCCGACGAGUGGCGAACGGGUGAGUAAUACAUCGGAACGUGCCCGAUCGUGGGGGAUAACGAGGCGAAAGCUUUGCUAAUACCGCAUACGAUCUACGGAUGAAAGCAGGGGACCGCAAGGCCUUGCGCGGACGGAGCGGCCGAUGGCAGAUUAGGUAGUUGGUGGGAUAAAAGCUUACCAAGCCGACGAUCUGUAGCUGGUCUGAGAGGAUGAUCAGCCACACUGGGACUGAGACACGGCCCAGACUCCUACGGGAGGCAGCAGUGGGGAAUUUUGGACAAUGGGCGCAAGCCUGAUCCAGCCAUGCCGCGUGCAGGAUGAAGGCCUUCGGGUUGUAAACUGCUUUUGUACGGAACGAAAAGCCUUCUUUUAAUACAGGAGGGUCAUGACGGUACCGUAAGAAUGAGCACCGGCUAACUACGUG
rnacentral:rRNA from 1 species